rnacentral:rRNA from 1 species
UUAGCGGCGGACGGGUGAGUAACACGUGGAUAACCUACCUAUAAGACUGGGAUAACUUCGGGAAACCGGAGCUAAUACCGGAUAAUAUUUUGAACCGCAUGGUUCAAAAGUGAAAGACGGUCUUGCUGUCACUUAUAGAUGGAUCCGCGCUGCAUUAGCUAGUUGGUAAGGUAACGGCUUACCAAGGCAACGAUGCAUAGCCGACCUGAGAGGGUGAUCGGCCACACUGGAACUGAGACACGGUCCAGACUCCUACGGGAGGCAGCAGUAGGGAAUCUUCCGCAAUGGGCGAAAGCCUGACGGAGCAACGCCGCGUGAGUGAUGAAGGUCUUCGGAUCGUAAAACUCUGUUAUUAGGGAAGAACAUAUGUGUAAGUAACUGUGCACAUCUUGACGGUACCUAAUCAGAAAGCCACGGCUAACUACGUGCCAGCAGCCGCGGUAAUACGUAGGUGGCAAGCGUUAUCCGGAAUUAUUGGGCGUAAAGCGCGCGUAGGCGGUUUUUUAAGUCUGAUGUGAAAGCCCACGGCUCAACCGUGGAGGGUCAUUGGAAACUGGAAAACUUGAGUGCAGAAGAGGAAAGUGGAAUUCCAUGUGUAGCGGUGAAAUGCGCAGAGAUAUGGAGGAACACCAGUGGCGAAGGCGACUUUCUGGUCUGUAACUGACGCUGAUGUGCGAAAGCGUGGGGAUCAAACAGGAUUAGAUACCCUGGUAGUCCACGCCGUAAACGAUGAGUGCUAAGUGUUAGGGGGUUUCCGCCCCUUAGUGCUGCAGCUAACGCAUUAAGCACUCCGCCUGGGGAGUACGACCGCAAGGUUGAAACUCAAAGGAAUUGACGGGGACCCGCACAAGCGGUGGAGCAUGUGGUUUAAUUCGAAGCAACGCGAAGAACCUUACCAAAUCUUGACAUCCUUUGACAACUCUAGAGAUAGAGCCUUCCCCUUCGGGGGACAAAGUGACAGGUGGUGCAUGGUUGUCGUCAGCUCGUGUCGUGAGAUGUUGGGUUAAGUCCCGCAACGAGCGCAACCCUUAAGCUUAGUUGCCAUCAUUAAGUUGGGCACUCUAAGUUGACUGCCGGUGACAAACCGGAGGAAGGUGGGGAUGACGUCAAAUCAUCAUGCCCCUUAUGAUUUGGGCUACACACGUGCUACAAUGGACAAUACAAAGGGCAGCGAAACCGCGAGGUCAAGCAAAUCCCAUAAAGUUGUUCUCAGUUCGGAUUGUAGUCUGCAACUCGACUACAUGAAGCUGGAAUCGCUAGUAAUCGUAGAUCAGCAUGCUACGGUGAAUACGUUCCCGGGUCUUGUACACACCGCCCGUCACACCACGAGAGUUUGUAACACCCGAAGCCGGUGGAGUAACCUUUUAGGAGCUAGCCGUCGAAGGUGGGACAAAUGAUUGGGGUGAAGUCGUAACAAGGUAGCCGUAUCGGAAGGUGCGGCUGGAUCACCUCCUUU